rnacentral:rRNA from 1 species
AUCGAACGCUGGCGGCAGGCCUAACACAUGCAAGUCGAACGAGUGGCGGACGGGUGAGUAAUGUCUGGGAAACUGCCUGAUGGAGGGGUAUAACUACUGGAAACGGUAGCUAAUACCGCAUACCAUCGGAUGUGCCCAGAGGGGAUUAGCUAGGAGGUGGGGUAACGGCUCACCUAGGCGACGAUCCCUAGCUGGUCUGAGAGGCUGAACGGCAACACUGGAAAUGAGACACGGUCCAGACUCCUCCGGGAGGAAGCAGUGGGGAAUAUUGCACAAUGGGCGAAAGCCUGAUGCAGCCAUGCAGCGUGUGUGAAGAAGGCCUUCGGGUUGUAAAGUACUGUCGGCGGGGAGGCGUUACCCGCAGAGGAAGCACCGGCUAACUCCGUGCCAGCAGCCGCGGUAAUAC